UACGGGGGGAGCAAGCGUUGUUCGGAUUUACUGGGCGUAAAGGGCGCGUAGGCGGCGCAACAAGUCACUUGUGAAAUCUCCGGGCUUAACUCGGAAAGGUCAAGUGAUACUGUUGUGCUAGAGUGCGGAAGGGGCAACUGGAAUUCUCGGUGUAGCGGUGAAAUGCGUAGAUAUCGAGAGGAACACCUGCGGCGAAGGCGGGUGGCUGGGCUGACACUGACGCUGAUGCGCGAAAGCCAGGGGAGCGAACGGG
rnacentral:rRNA from 1 species